rnacentral:rRNA from 1 species
AUUGAACGCUGGCGGCAUGCUUUACACAUGCGAGUCGAACGGUAACAGGCCUUCGGGUGCUGACGAGUGGCGAACGGGUGAGUAAUGCAUCGGAACGUGCCCAGAGGUGGGGGAUAACGCAGCGAAAGCUGUGCUAAUACCGCAUGUGAUCUGAGGAUGAAAGCGGGGGACCAGGCAGCAAUGUUUGGCCUCGCGCCUUUGGAGCGGCCGAUGUCAGAUUAGGUAGUUGGUGGGGUAAAGGCCUACCAAGCCGACGAUCUGUAGCUGGUCUGAGAGGACGACCAGCCACACUGGGACUGAGACACGGCCCAGACUCCUACGGGAGGCAGCAGUGGGGAAUUUUGGACAAUGGGCGCAAGCCUGAUCCAGCAAUGCCGCGUGCGGGAAGAAGACCUUCGGGUUGUAAACCGCUUUUGUACGGAACGAAAAGGCUCUGGCUAAUACCUGGGGCUGAUGACGGUACCGUAAGAAUAAGCACCGGCUAACUACGUG